rnacentral:rRNA from 1 species
AGCGAACGCUGGCGGCAGGCUUAACACAUGCAAGUCGAGCGGGCCUUUCGGGGUCAGCGGCGGACGGGUGAGUAACGCGUGGGAACGUGCCCUCUGGUUCGGAAUAACUCAGGGAAACUUGAGCUAAUACCGGAUACGCCCUUUUGGGGAAAGGCUUGCUGCCGGAGGAUCGGCCCGCGUCUGAUUAGCUAGUUGGUGAGGUAACGGCUCACCAAGGCGACGAUCAGUAGCUGGUCUGAGAGGAUGAUCAGCCACACUGGGACCGAGACACGGCCCAGACUCCUACGGGAGGCAGCAGUGGGGAAUAUUGGACAAUGGGCGCAAGCCUGAUCCAGCCAUGCCGCGUGAGUGAUGAAGGCCUUAGGGUUGUAAAGCUCUUUUAUCCGGGACGAUAAUGACGGUACCGGAGGAAUAAGCCCCGGCUAACUUCGUG